UGCGUAGGUGGCCUGACAAGUCAGGGGUCAAAGGCAACGGCUCAACCGUUGUAAGCCCUUGAAACUGUCGGGCUUGAGUUCAGGAGAGGAAAGCGGAAUUCCUAGUGUAGCGGUGAAAUGCGUAGAUAUUAGGGGGAACACCAGUGGCGAAGGCGGCUUUCUGGACUGAUACUGACACUGAGGCACGAAAGCGUGGGGAGCAAACA
rnacentral:rRNA from 1 species